GAUGAACGCUGGCGGCGUGCCUAAUACAUGCAAGUCGAGCGAAUGGAUUAAGAGCUUGCUCUUAUGAAGUUGGCGGCGGACGGGUGAGUAACACGUGGGUAACCUGCCCAUAAGACUGGGAUAACUCCGGGAAACCGGGGCUAAUACCGGAUAACAUUUUGAACCGCAUGGUUCGAAACUGAAAGGCGGCCUCGGCUGUCACUUAUGGAUGGACCCGCGUCGCAUUAGCUAGUUGGUGAGGUAACGGCUCACCAAGGCAACGAUGCGUAGCCGACCUGAGAGGGUGAUCGGCCACACUGGGACUGAGACACGGCCCAGACUCCUACGGGAGGCAGCAGUAGGGAAUCUUCCGCAAUGGACGAAAGUCUGACGGAGCAACGCCGCGUGAGUGAUGAAGGCUUUCGGGUCGUAAAACUCUGUUGUUAGGGAAGAACAAGUGCUAGUUGAAUAAGCUGGCACCUUGACGGUACCUAACCAGAAAGCACGGCUAACUACGUGCCAGCAGCCGCCGUAA
rnacentral:rRNA from 1 species